CUUCCAGUUCCGGAUUCCUUGGGAGGCUGCCGGCGUGGACCGCGGGAAGGCGGGGCUGGGGCUCGGCGGGAGGCCACCCCCGCAGCCGCCCCGGGAGGAGCGCGCCCAGCAGCUGCUGGACGCGGUGGAGCAGCGGCAGCGGCAGCUCCUGGACACCAUCGCAGCCUGCGAGGAGAUGUUACGGCAGCUGGGCCGCCGGCGCCCGGAGCCGGCUGGUGGCGGG
rnacentral:sRNA from 2 species